rnacentral:rRNA from 1 species
GUUUAGCUAAUCUCUUAAAACCAUUCUCAGUUCGGAUGUAGGCUGCAACUCGCCUACAUGAAGUCGGAAUCGCUAGUAAUCGCGGAUCAGCACGCCGCGGUGAAUACGUUCCCGGGCCUUGUACACACCGCCCGUCACACCACGGGAGUUGGGAGUACCCGAAGUAGGUUGCCUAACCGCAAGGAGGGCGCUUCCUAAGGUAAGACCGAUGACUGGGGUGAAGUCGUAACAAGGUAGCCGUAUCGGAAGGUGCGGCUGGAUCACCUCCUUUCUAAGGAAUAUAUAC